GGGGAUGUAGCUCAGUUGGCAGAGCACCUGCUUUGCAAGCAGGGGGUCGUCGGUUCAAAUCCGAUCAUCUCCA
rnacentral:tRNA from 1 species